AGUGAAGGUAGAGGUGCGAGCUUCAAGAGUAAUGGUUCUGAGAAGGAUGAGCUUCUAAGACGGAUCAUGAAAGGGAAUGUUCGCCGAAGUAAAGAAAAUCUCAUUUCUUUCUUUGCUGGUCCUGUAUUGAAUAAAUGCCGGAUUGUCAGGACGAAUGUCUUGGAGAGCUAUCUUACAU
rfam:Bacillus sp. OV166 genome assembly, contig: Ga0115450_11